rnacentral:rRNA from 2 species
GGGUUGUGAGGUUAAGCGACUAAGCGUACACGGUGGAUGCCCUGGCAGUCAGAGGCGAUGAAGGGCGUGCUAAUCUGCGAUAAGCGCCGGUAAGGUGAUAUGAACCGUUAUAACCGGCGAUACCCGAAUGGGGAAACCCAGUGUGACUCGUCACACUAUCAUUAACUGAAUCCAUAGGUUAAUGAGGCGAACCGGGGGAACUGAAACAUCUAAGUACCCCGAGGAAAAGAAAUCAACCGAGAUUCCCCCAGUAGCGGCGAGCGAACGGGGAGGAGCCCAGAGCCUGAAUCAGCAUGUGUGUUAGUGGAAGCGUCUGGAAAGGCGCGCGAUACAGGGUGACAGCCCCGUACACAAAAGCGCAUGUGCUGUGAGCUCGAUGAGUAGGGCGGGACACGUGGUAUCCUGUCUGAAUAUGGGGGGACCAUCCUCCAAGGCUAAAUACUCCUGACUGACCGAUAGUGAACCAGUACCGUGAGGGAAAGGCGAAAAGAACCCCGGCGAGGGGAGUGAAAAAGAACCUGAAACCGUGUACGUACAAGCAGUGGGAGCCCCACCACCAAAGCAUUCUCUGGUGUUGAAGGCCCUGCAAAGCAGCAUCGCGGUGGCGGAGCGUCGUUUGCGACGCCCAACACACAAAACAAGCGGUGAAUGCUUUGGGGUGGGGUGACUGCGUACCUUUUGUAUAAUGGGUCAGCGACUUAUAUUCUGUAGCAAGGUUAACCGAAUAGGGGAGCCGGAGGGAAACCGAGUCUUAAUUGGGCGUUAAGUUGCAGGGUAUAGACCCGAAACCCGGUGAUCUAGCCAUGGGCAGGUUGAAGGUUGGGUAACACUAACUGGAGGACCGAACCGACUAAUGUUGAAAAAUUAGCGGAUGACCUGUGGCUGGGGGUGAAAGGCCAAUCAAACCGGGAGAUAGCUGGUUCUCCCCGAAAGCUAUUUAGGUAGCGCCUCGUGAAUUCAUCUCCGGGGGUAGAGCACUGUUUCGGCUAGGGGGCCAUCCCGGCUUACCAACCCGAUGCAAACUGCGAAUACCGGAGAAUGUUAUCACGGGAGACACACGGCGGGUGCUAACGUCCGUCGUGAAGAGGGAAACAACCCAGACCGCCAGCUAAGGUCCCAAAGUCAUGGUUAAGUGGGAAACGAUGUGGGAAGGCCCAGACAGCCAGGAUGUUGGCUUAGAAGCAGCCAUCAUUUAAAGAAAGCGUAAUAGCUCACUGGUCGAGUCGGCCUGCGCGGAAGAUGUAACGGGGCUAAACCAUGCACCGAAGCUGCGGCAGCGAACGUAUCACCCAAGACAACUUUACGGAGUUGACGAUUGACGGAGCGAAGCGACGUCAAAGCGUUCAUUAAAGUCGAGUUGGCUUAGGGAUACGUUCGUUGGGUAGGGGAGCGUUCUGUAAGCCUGUGAAGGUGUGUCGUGAGGCAUGCUGGAGGUAUCAGAAGUGCGAAUGCUGACAUAAGUAACGAUAAAGCGGGUGAAAAGCCCGCUCGCCGGAAGACCAAGGGUUCCUGUCCAACGUUAAUCGGGGCAGGGUGAGUCGACCCCUAAGGCGAGGCCGAAAGGCGUAGUCGAUGGGAAACGGGUUAAUAUUCCCGUACUUGGUGUUACUGCGAAGGGGGGACGGAGAAGGCUAUGUUGGCCGGGCGACGGUUGUCCCGGUUUAAGCGUGUAGGUGUGUGUUCCAGGUAAAUCCGGUUCACUUUAACACUGAGGCGUGACGACGAGGCACUACGGUGCUGAAGCAACAAAUGCCCUGCUUCCAGGAAAAGCCUCUAAGCAUCAGGUAACACGAAAUCGUACCCCAAACCGACACAGGUGGUCAGGUAGAGAAUACCAAGGCGCUUGAGAGAACUCGGGUGAAGGAACUAGGCAAAAUGGUGCCGUAACUUCGGGAG